rnacentral:rRNA from 1 species
ACGGGAGGCAGCAGUGGGGAAUAUUGCACAAUGGGCGCAAGCCUGAUGCAGCGAUGCCGCGUGAGGGAAGAAGGUUUUCGGAUUGUAAACCUCUGUCAACAGGGACGAAAAUGACGGUACCUGUGAAGGAAGCUCCGGCUAACUACGUGCCAGCAGCCGCGGUAAUACGUAGGGAGCAAGCGUUAUCCGGAAUUACUGGGUGUAAAGGGAGUGUAGGCGGGACUGUAAGUCAGAUGUGAAAUAUGCCGGCUCAACUGGCAGACUGCAUUUGAAACUGUUUCUCUUGAGUGCUGGAGAGGUAGAUGGAAUUCCUAGUGUAGCGGUGAAAUGCGUAGAUAUUAGGAAGAACACCAGUGGCGAAGGCGAUCUACUGGACAGUAACUGACGCUGAGGCGCGAAAGCGUGGGGAGCAAACAGGAUUAGAUACCCUGGUA